rnacentral:rRNA from 1 species
CUUUUGAUUAUAAUUUAAGGUCUGGCCUGCCCAAUGAGUUUUUAAAUGGCCGCGGUAUUUUGACCGUGCAAAGGUAGCAUAAUCAUUAGUUUUUUAAUUGAAAGCUCGAAUGAAAGGUUGGAUGAGAAAAUGAUUGUCUCUAUUUAAAUUAAUUAGAAUUUUAUUUUUAAGUAAAAAAGCUUAAAUAUUUUUAAAAGACGAGAAGACCCUAUAGAGUUUUAUUAAUUUUUAUGUUAAAGUUUUUAGUAUUUAAUUUUUUAUUAUAAUAAGUUAAUUUAAUUGGGGUGAUUAAAAAAUUAAAUAAACUUUUUUUUUAUUUUUACAUUAAUUUAUGAUUAUUUGAUCCUUAUUUAAAGAUUAAAAGAUAAAAUUACCUUAGGGAUAACAGCGUAAUUUUUUUAAAGAGUUCAAAUCGAAAAAAAAGAUUGCGACCUCGAUGUUGGAUUAAAAUAAAAUUUUGGUGUAGAAGCUAAA